rnacentral:lncRNA from 1 species
UGUUGGAGCUCUAAGAGUGACCUCACAGUGACCAUUGUGGCUUCAGCUUAUCAUGGUCAUUCAUAGUCAUGGUCAUGGCUAGAAGUAAGCAAGCCCCACUCUCUGGAGCCUCUGCUUCUUCCAGACUGCUCGUCCUGCUGACUGACAGCUCCUGGACCAGCGUCGGGGACCACACCACUCUUCCUCAUGAAGUUUCUCCGCAGAAGCUGGUUCUACCUGACUUCCUACUCGCCCUUGGAGUGGCUGGUACUUUGCUCAAGGAAAAUGUUGGCCUCUUAGCCAAGAACAUGGAUGUGUCAAAGAAAUCUAACACUCUAUAGGCCAGGAGAAAACAAAAACAAAAACUGCAAACAGCAAGAUUAUUUUCACCUUACUGUAAAACUGCUGCUAUUUUCACCGGCAACACAAGAAAUGCCCCCUUUCCUCUCCUUUUUUCCCCUUCCUAAUAUCAUAC